GACCUUGAGAUACUGCACCAGCUCCACACUCAAUCAGGAAAAAAACAAUGAAAAUUAGUGUGACUGUGUCAGAUGAAGAUGUUCCAGUCUGCUUUAAUUCUGACUCUAGUUACCCAGAAACUGUCUAUCCAGUUGUAUGUGAAAACCUGGAGUAAGGGAUAUUCAGCCAAAUUUCAUCAUCUGCCAGGCUGCUCAGGCCAAAAGGCAGCAGGAAGCUGUUGACAAUGCAGAGAGGCCCCAAAACAGGCCAUAAUAGCACAAGCCAAGUGCUAGGAAUUUAGUGCAACAUUCCACGGCUGAGAGAAGAUGAGCAACAAGACAAAAACAUUAUCCUGGCAAGGAAGUGCUCAAGGAUGUAAUUAACAAUGUGUGGCACUGAAAGGUGUGGGGCUUUCCUGUCCCAUGGGGCCUGUCUCACAGAAGUUUAGCCUUCAAAGUUCCUGGCAAGUUGUGUGACAGCUGAGAGCCACGUCUCUGCUAGGGCCAACCGUGCCACAUGGACAACGAUUUUCUAGUGCUCCCUUUCUGAAGCUGCAGCCACCUUCAUGCUUUAGUUUUAAAGCAUGCCUGACAAGAUAAUUUCUUAUAUUUUUACUAGUGCAGUUAUUCAGCCUUUUUUUUUUUUUAUUGCAAGUUAUAAUUUAAUUUGUGUAUUUUUGAAAAAAAAAAUGUUUUGAAUUCCUCAUGGUAGUCAAGAUCUUUUUCAGUCUAUUUUUUAACCAUUUUAAAAUUGUAUUGCCUCUUUGGUAAAUAUCAGUAAUUCAAUAUUUAUGGGUUUUGUUCUUUUACAUAUAAAUGUUUCUCCUAGGAUUAAGCUUGAAAUAAAUUGCUUCAUGUUGUUACCCAUUACUUGUAUUCAUGGGUAAAUUAAAGUGUC